rnacentral:sRNA from 1 species
AUCGGGAAGCUCCGGCCCUCGCUUUUCAGGACCGGCGCAUCGCCGACGAGUCCGGCGAU